AGAGCGGCGGACGGGUGAGUAAUGCCUAGGAAUCUGCCUGGUAGUGGGGGAUAACGUUCGGAAACGAACGCUAAUACCGCAUACGUCCUACGGGAGAAAGCAGGGGACCUUCGGGCCUUGCGCUAUCAGAUGAGCCUAGGUCGGAUUAGCUAGUUGGUGAGGUAAUGGCUCACCAAGGCGACGAUCCGUAACUGGUCUGAGAGGAUGAUCAGUCACACUGGAACUGAGACACGGUCCAGACUCCUACGGGAGGCAGCAGUGGGGAAUAUUGGACAAUGGGCGAAAGCCUGAUCCAGCCAUGCCGCGUGUGUGAAGAAGGUCUUCGGAUUGUAAAGCACUUUAAGUUGGGAGGAAGGGCAGUUACCUAAUACGUGAUUGUUUUGACGUUACCGACAGAAUAAGCACCGGCUAACUCUGUGCCAGCAGCCGCGGUAAUACAGAGGGUGCAAGCGUUAAUCGGAAUUACUGGGCGUAAAGCGCGCGUAGGUGGUUUGUUAAGUUGGAUGUGAAAUCCCCGGGCUCAACCUGGGAACUGCAUUCAAAACUGACUGACUAGAGUAUGGUAGAGGGUGGGUGGAAUUUCCUGUGUAGCGGUGAAAUGCGUAGAUAUAGGAAGGAACACCAGUGGCGAAGGCGACCACCUGGACUAAUACUGACACUGAGGUGCGAAAGCGUGGGGAGC
rnacentral:rRNA from 1 species